rnacentral:rRNA from 1 species
UACAGAGAGUGCAAGCGUUAAUCGGAAUCACUGGGCGUAAAGCGCACGUAGGUGGAUAUUUAAGUCGAAUGUGAAAGCCCCAGGCUUAACCUGGGAAUUGCACCCGAUACUGGGUAUCUCGAGUAUGGUAGAGGGAAGUGGAAUUUCCGGUGUAGCGGUGAAAUGCGUAGAUAUCGGAAAGAACACCAGUGGCGAAGGCGGCUUCCUGGACCAAUACUGACACUGAGGUGCGAAAGCGUGGGGAGCAAACAGG